UUUUUUUUUUUUUCUUUUGCCUGAUCCCUCUGGCCAGAAUUGCCCUUUCUUCAUUUUGUGUUAUUCUGAGCACAAUUCUUCUUCGGUGUCUGCCUCCCUCUGUGUGUCUGUGGUGUCUCAGAGCCCAGGAUCUGAGCCCUUCGCUUCUCCACCAGGCUGGGAUCUGCAUGGCAGGCAGCCAGGUGACUGCCCUCUUUAAAGCUCCAAGUGCCCCAUGCUUUUUCUGGAAUCUGUGCCCUGCAUAGGGUUGAGCUCAAUGUUAGUUUAAAUGAAGAGAAACCUUUGAAGAUGCCCUUCUUCGACCUCUUGUCUCUACAAAGACACAGACCUCUCUGAGCACAGCUUUCCAGUAAGUUUUAUCCCACUGAGCCAGCAUGGGGGAAGCUGGCCUUUUGAGCAAGCCUCCCUAUAGUUUUGAGUUUUUUCUCUGAUCUGGAUUUAUAUAAUAUUCAGUCACUCUGGCCAUCACAUUCCUGUCUUCCUACCUACCCACAGACCUGAGCAAGAGCCACAGCUGGCCAGAACAUUGGGCCAUUUCUCAGCUGGGAACACUGUCCUGGGAAGGACCACAAGUUAGUGACAAUGUAAAAGAGAUAAAUUAGCAGAGAUGCUGGUGACUGAUGUGGGGUCCAUGUGGUCUUAGAUGGACAUUCUAGCUCUGAGCCUGUUUCCUUGCUGAACAUUGUGCCUCUUCACCCACCCCAAAUCUAUGUUAACCUAGAACUUCACAGGGUAAGCUUACUUGGAGAUAGGUUUUCUAUGGAUUUGGCCAAGGUAGGGAUCAAGAUGAGAUUAGAUGUGUCAUAAGUCCUUAUCACAAAGACACAAAGUCCUUAAACAAAGACACAGGGGAAGAACUCUGUGACAGAUGGAGGCAAAGAGAAAAGAGAAGCCACCAGAAUUUGAAGUAGUUUGACAUCAGGGAAGGAUGAUGGGUCAUGGUAGCUCCAGGAAACCAGGGCAGAGAGUCUUAAGACGUGCUCCCUUCUGCCUCUCUUCUACAGAAAGACUAGACCAUGAAUUGCUCUGCCCUCUUGGGGAAGAGACACUGGCUCCAAAGUCUUUAUAAUUCAUGAGUUGAUAGGAUCAGGGUGAGGAGGACACAACACCUGCCCCAACACUGGAGGUAACUGGGACCAGCAGGACCCAGGCACCCAGGAACUCCACCCCACCAGUGGCACAGGUUCCUUUUGGUCUGAGCCAGUGCCCUGAGCAGACCAGGGGUUCAAACUCCAUACCAAGCCUCACAAAACCCAGAUAAAGUUCCAUUCCCAGGCACUCUAACACACCCAGGUCCACAGGAUCCCAGGAGUUUGUUCACACCAGGAUCUCAGUGUCCCAGAGGCAGCUUGACUCCCAGUAGCUCUGACACACCCAGGAUCUCAGGACCACAGGAUCCCAGAAUUAUAGGAUCAGAUACAGCUGAACCCUGAGGAGUUCUGACACAACCAGGAUCACAGGAAGGACAGGCUCCAGUCAGAUAUAAGAAGGGAAGGUAGCACCAGAGAUAAUCAUAUGGCAGGAGGCAAGCGAAAAAAACAUAAGCAACAGAAACCAAGGUUACUUGGCAUCAUCAGAACCCAAUUCUCCUACCAUAGCAAGUCCUGGAUACACCAUCACACCGGAAAAGCAAGACUCAGACCUAAAAUUACUUCUCAUGAUGAUGAUAGAGGACAUUAAGAAGGACAUAAAUAACUCCUGUAAAGAAAUACAGGAGAACAUAGGUAAACAGCUAGAAGCCCUUAAAGAGGAAACACAAAAACCCCUUAAAAAAUUACAGGAAAACACAAUCAAACAGGUGAAGGACAUGAACAAAACCAUCCAAGAUCAAAUACUGGAAAUAGAAACAAUAAAGAAAUAACAAAGGGAGACAGCCCUGGAGUUAAAAAACCUAGGAAAGAGAUGAGGAGUCAUAGAUGCAAGCAUCACCAACAGAAGAGAAGAGAUAGAAGAGAGACUCUUGGGGGCAGAAGACACCAUAGAAAAUAUUGAUAGGACAAUCAAAGUAAAUGCAAAAGCAAAACGCUCCUAACCCAAAACAUCCAGGAAAUCCAGGACACAAUGAGAAGGCGAAACCUUAAGAUGAUAGGUAUAGAAGAGAGUGAAGAUUCCCAAUUCAAAGGGCCAGUAAAUAUCUCCAACAAACUUAUACAAGAAAACUUCCCUAAACUAAAGAAAGAGAUCCCCAUGAACAUACAAGAAGCCUACAGAACUCCAAAUAGACUGGACCAGAAAAAUGCAUUCCUCCUGUCACAUAAUAAUCAAAAUAUGAAAUGCACAAAACAAAGCAAUAGUCAUGAUGUCAUGGAACCGAUAAAUGGAUUGUUUUUAAUAAUGAAGACUGGCAAUAAAGCUGUACAUUCGAUUCCAAAUAUUGGUUACAAAGUAGAACCAUUGAUAACUUUCAUGUUUAGAAAAAUCCUUCUUUUACUAUUCAAAAAAUGUUUUUAAUCAUGCUAAUAAAUGUUUAUGGAGAUGAAAAAAAGGAAUAUUAAAUGCAGUAAGGAUAAAAGGUCAAGUAACAUAUAAAGGCAGGCAUAUCAGAAUUAUACCAGACUUCUCACCAGAGACUAUGAAAGCUAGAAUAUUCUGGACAGAUGUCAUACAGACCCUAAGAGAACACAAAUGCCAGCCCAGGCUAGUAUACCCAGCAAAACUCUCAAUCACCAUAGAUGGAGAAAACAAGAUAUUCCAUGACAAAACCAAAUUUACACAAUAUCUUUCCACAAAUCCAGCCCUACAAAGGAUAAUAGAUGGGAAACACCAACACAAGGAGGGAAACUACACCCUAGAAAAAGCAAGAAAGUAAUCUUUCAACAAACCCAAAAGAAGAUAGCCACUCAAACAUAAUUCUACCUCUAACAACAAAAUAACAGGAAAAAUCACUUUUCCUUAGUAUCUCUUAACAUCAAUGGACUCAGUUCUCCCCAAAAGACACAUAGACUAACAGACUGGAUAUGUGUACUGGCUGAUUUUGUGUCAACUUGACACAGAGAAAGGAGCUUCAGUUGGGGAAAUGCCUCCAUGAGAUCCAGCUGUAAGGCAUUUUCUCAGUUAGUGAUCAAGUGGGGAGGGCCCCUUGUGGGUGGUGCCAUCCCUGGGCUGGAAGUCUUGGGUUUUAUAAGAGAGCAGACUGAGCAAGCCAGGGGAAGCAAACCAAUAAGAAACAUCCCUCCAUGGCCUCUGCAUCAGCUCCUGCUUCCUCACCUGCUUGAGUUCCAGUCCUGACUUCCUUUAGUGAUGAACAGCGAUUUGGAGGUGUAAGCUGAAUAAACCCUUUCCUCCCCAACUUGCUUCUUGGUCAUGAUGUUUGUAUAGGAAUAGAAACUCCCACUAAGACAAUAUGUAAACAGGACCCAGCAUUUUGAGGCAAACAGGAAACACACUUUAGUGACAAAGACAGACACUGAAGAGAGCUUACCCUAGCAGCUUGACAGCAUACCUGACAGCUCUAGAGCAAAAAGAAGCAAAUUCACCCAAGAGGAGUAGAUGGCAGGAAAUAAUCAAACUCCGGGCUCAAAUCAACC
rnacentral:lncRNA from 1 species